rnacentral:rRNA from 1 species
GGAGUUUGAUCCUGGCUCAGAUUGAACGCUGGCGGCGUGCUUAACACAUGCAAGUCGAACGCGAAAGGGACUUCGGUCCUGAGUAAAGUGGCGCACGGGUGAGUAACGCGUGGAUAAUCUGCCCUUAUGAUUGGAAUAACAGUUGGAAACGGCUGCUAAUACCGGAUACGCUCAAAAUGAACUUUUUGAGGAAAGAUGGCCUCUGCUUGCAUGCUAUCGCAUAAGGAUGAGUCCGCGUCCCAUUAGCUUGUUGGCGGGGUAACGGCCCACCAAGGCAACGAUGGGUAGCCGAUUUGAGAGGAUGAUCGGCCACACUGGAACUGAAACACGGUCCAGACUCCUACGGGAGGCAGCAGUGGGGAAUAUUGCGCAAUGGGCGAAAGCCUGACGCAGCGACGCCGCGUGAGGGAUGAAGGUUUUCGGAUCGUAAACCUCUGUCAGAAGGGAAGAAACUACGUUGUGCUAAUCAGCAGCGUACUGACGGUACCUUCAAAGGAAGC